rnacentral:lncRNA from 1 species
UUUUAUUAUUCUUGUCCAUGUUUUUACAAACGGAACAGCUGUGAAUUGUUUACUUUAAAUGACGUUCAACACAAUGACGUCAUAACCUAUUUUUGUUAUGACGUCGGCUCUGGGUUUGGUAAUUUAGGUGAAUGGUAAGCCGAAAUGGUAAAUGGUAAACCAUUUCGGUAAUGGUUUACCAAAGUAUAAAUACAGAGGAGAGAAAGGAUAAGACUGUAGUACGACUUUACCCUGGGCAAGUAACACACGCUAAUUCCAAGCGAUUUAAAAUAUACAUGUACCAUAACCAUUUAC